rnacentral:rRNA from 1 species
CCCUUAGAUGUUCUGGGCCGCACGCGUGCUACACUGAGUGGAUCAGCGGGUCAGGUUGCGCGAAAGCGUUUCCUAAUCUUUAAAUCCGCUCGUGAUGGGGAUUGAAGGUUGCAAUUUUCUGUCAUGAACGAGGAAUACCUUGUAAGCGCGGGUCAUCAUCCCGCGCUGAAUACGUCCCUGCCCUUUGUACACACCGCCCGUCGCUCCUACCGAUUGAGUGGUCCGGUGAGGCUUUGGGAUCUGAGCGGAAAGAGCGUUUCGCUGUUUCUGCUCGGAAAACUCAGUCGAACCUUAUCAUUUAGAGGAAGGAGAAGUCGUAACA